UACGGAGGGGGCUAGCGUUGUUCGGAAUUACUGGGCGUAAAGCGCACGUAGGCGGCUUUGUAAGUUAGAGGUGAAAGCCCAGGGCUUAACCCUGGAAUUGCCUUUAAGACUGCAUCGCUAGAAUCGUGGAGAGGUAAGUGGAAUUCCGAGUGUAGAGGUGAAAUUCGUAGAUAUUCGGAAGAACACCAGUGGCGAAGGCGACUUACUGGACACGGUAUUGACGCUGAGGUGCGAAAAGCGUGGGGAGCAAACAGG
rnacentral:rRNA from 1 species